rnacentral:rRNA from 1 species
CCUACGGGGGGCAGCAGUGAGGAAUAUUGGUCAAUGGACGAGAGUCUGAACCAGCCACGUAGCGUGAAGGAUGACUGCCCUAUGGGUUGUAAACUUCUUUUAUAUGGGAAUAAAACGUUCCACGUGUGGGAUUUUGUAUGUACCAUAUGAAUAAGGAUCGGCUAACUCCGUGCCAGCAGCCGCGGUAAUACGGAGGAUCCGAGCGUUAUCCGGAUUUAUUGGGUUUAAAGGGAGCGUAGGUGGAUUGUUAAGUCAGUUGUGAAAGUUUGCGGAGCAACCGUAAAAUUGCAGUUGAAACUGGCAGUCUUGAGUACAGUAGAGGUGGGCGGAAUUCGUGGUGUAGCGGUGAAAUGCUUAGAGAUCACGAAGAACUCCGAUUGCGAAGGCAGUUCACUGGACUGCAACUGACACUGAGGCUCGAAAGUGUGGGUAUCAAACAGGAUUAGAUACCCGAGUAGUC